GGAGGGGUGGCCGAGUCCGGCUGAAGGCGCUGGACUUGAAAUCCAGUGACACUCUCUGAGUGCCGGGGGUUCGAAUCCCUCCCCCUCCGCCA
rnacentral:tRNA from 1 species